UGCCUCUCCCAGACGCGUCGCCACUCUUCACCCACCAUUCCAGUGCCGAUCCAUACGAGGGAGAGCAUCCUCGCUGCUCUUCUCCACUGGUUCUCCAUCACCGGCUGCGAAGAAGACGAUGGCCGCAAUCGUUGAUGAGCCGCGGUCGUUUCCUCUUCUCUUGCGUUCCAUACUCUCCUCACCAUGCCGAAUAUUUCUCCUUUUGAUUUCAUCCUCUCUGGUGCAGCCAAUCGGCGGGAACGCUGCCAUGCACACCGGAGCUCUGGAGCGCGCUCUGCGCACCGCCGCAGCAACAUCGUCGCCGUUGCCAUCAAUCUAGAUCAAGCCGGAGCGAGCCACCACGCCACCAGCUUCACCUCAACCUCCUCUCCAUUUCCCCUCAAGAAUCUUCAAGAAUGGUGCUACGAGUGUGGAGAUCGUCCACCGUCUUCUCCACCUCCGGUCGCCGUCGCCAUUGUCGAUUCCGCCUCCUCCGGUGAGCCAUUGUCCGAUUCUUCGCGUAUACACCAUCCCUGGGACCUCACUAACCCCAUGAAAACACAUGCAUGUCAAUUCGAUGAGUGGAUCGAGCCGUUGCCGUCUUCCCGGAGCUCUACACCGUCGCCGGACCAUCUUCUUCUCCGCUGCCGCUGUCCAGACUUUCCGGCGCCUCGUUCAAGGUUCGUAGCAGCCUAAGCACAGCCGCCGCUCGGACUCGCCGCCGGCGUUACUCCGAUGUCCACUGACCAAGAAAAGAAGAGGAAUGGAAUCGCAAUAGCAUGAUCUUCAUUUUGUCUUUUGGUCGCACCCUCAAACGAGCCACCGUUUGCCGCUGGCAAGCUUGAGAUCGAGCUCAGCCAUGGCUUGAUCUGCUUCAGCUCGAACCAGGGACCUCGUCACAAGAAUUUAGGUUAAUAUAGGGCUCUUUAUGCAAAAGCUCAAGACACACAGAACAGUCAUAGGACUGCGGGUUGAUUUCCUGAAACUAUAGGAGCCUUUUUGCAUAUUGGCCUGAGACUGACAGUGCACCCCUUGGAAACAAAAUCUGAAAUUAUAAAAGAACAGUAACUAAAACUUGUAAAAAUCCAUAUAAAAUUAAAUAUAGCUCAUUUUAAGAUGAUUCAAAUUUCUGUGAACUCACCAAAUUGGGAACUUUGAUGUUA